rnacentral:rRNA from 1 species
CCUACGGGGGGCAGCAGUGAGGAAUAUUGGUCAAUGGACGCAAGUCUGAACCAGCCAUGCCGCGUGCAGGAUGACGGUCUAUGGAUUGUAAACUGCUUUUGCACAGGAAGCGGUACUGUGAGAAUAAGGAUCGGCUAACUCCGUGCCAGCAGCCGCGGUAAUACGGAGGAUCCAAGCGUUAUCCGGAAUCAUUGGGUUUAAAGGGUCCGUAGGCGGUCUUGUAAGUCAGUGGUGAAAGCCCAUCGCUCAACGGUGGAACGGCCAUUGAUACUGCAGGACUUGAAUUAUUGGGAAGUAACUAGAAUAUGUAGUGUAGCGGUGAAAUGCUUAGAGAUUACAUGGAAUACCAAUUGCGAAGGCAGGUUACUACCAUUAUUGACGCUGAUGGACGAAAGCGUGGGUAGCGAACAGGAUUAGAUACCCUUGUAGUC